rnacentral:tRNA from 1 species
UCCUUGGUGGUGCAGUGGUUAGGACUCCACGCUCCCAAUAUGAGGGGCCUGGGUUCAAUUCCUGGCUGGGGAA